UAAAACCUUCACAUUCACACUCUUAUGGCCGACCAAGCAAGGGAACAAAGAGAAAAAGAGAAGAACAAACCCUAGGAAGGAAAAAUUCAAGAGAAAUUGUUGGAUUUCAAGGAAUCAAGCAAGUAAAGGUGGUGAGCCCUCUGAUAAGGGUAAAGAUAUUGUUCCCGAGGACCAAAAAUAAGAGUACUCCAAACUCUUGCUAUUGCACAGGACAGUCUAUAGACAACCAAUUUUAUCGAGGGUUGCUUUUGGAUUUGCAUCCUUAGAAAUCGAAGGUCUACAGUCUUGUAUAUUUACGGUUAUUUUGGGGCCCACAUGUCAUUGUAGAAUAUUUUUGUAUACCUGGUUUAGUGUGCUAUUAUAUAUAUGAAUUUAUU
rnacentral:sRNA from 1 species